rnacentral:rRNA from 1 species
AUGAACGCUAGCGGUGCGCCUAACACAUGCAAGUCGAACGGGGAAUUCUGCGAUUACAUCAAGGGAGACCUAGUGGCGAACGGGUGAGUAACGAGUUUGUACCUGCCCCCCAGUGAGGGAUACCCUGUCGAAAGACAGGCUAAUACCGCACGGUUCCCGCGAGGGUAAAGCCGCAAGGCGCUGGGGGAGGGGCAUGCUCCCUAUCAGGUAGUUGGCGGGGUAAAGGCCCACCAAGCCUAUGACGGGUAGCUGGUCUGAGAGGACGGCCAGCCACAAUGGGACUGAGACACGGCCCAUACUCCUACGGGAGGCAGCAGUGAGGAAUCUUCCGCAAUGGGCGAAAGCCCUGACGGAGCGACACCGCGUGAAGGACGAAGCCUUUGUUGGUGUAAACUUCUUUUCUGUGGGAAGAUGAUGACGGUACCACAGGAAUAAGGGGCGGCAAACUACGUGCCAGCAGCCGCGGUAAUACGUAGGCCCCGAGCGUUACCCGGAAUCACUGGGCGUAAGGAGUGCGUAGGCGGAGCGGGAAGUCAGACGUGAAAGGCCGGGGCUCAACCCCGUGCUCGCCGUCCGAAACUCCCGCCCUUGAGUUGGGGAGAGGUAAGCGGAAUGGUAUGAGUAGGGGUGCAAUCCGUUGAUACAUACCAGAACACCGAAAGCGAAGGCAGCUUACUGGAACCAUACUGACGCUGAGGCACGAAAGCGUGGGGGAGCGAAAAGGAUUAGAUACCCUUGUAGUCCACGCCCCUAAACGAUGGACGCUGAGUGUCGGCGGCAAGCCGGUGCUUCAAGCUAACGCAUUAAGCGUCCCGCCUGAGAAGUACGGUCGCAAGAUUAAAACUCAAAUGAAUAGACGGGGACCCACACAAGCAGUGGAUCAUGUUGUUUAAAUUCGACAAUAAACGAGGAACCUCACCCAGGCUUGACAUCCCGAGGAAAGCGGCGGAAAACGCUGCCGUGCCCGCAAGGGAGCUCGGAGACAGGCGCUGCAUGGUUUGUCGUCAGCUCGUGCCUUGAGGUGUUCGGUUAAGUCCGUUAACGAGCGCAACCCAUGCCGUUAGUUACUAUGUCUAACGGGACUGCCUGAGUUAAUCAGGAGGAAGGUGUGGAUGACGUCAAAUCAGCAUGGCCCUUAUGCCUGGGGCUACAAACAUGAUACAAUGGUCGGUACAAUGCGCCGCGAUCCCGCGAGGGUGAGCCAACCGCCAAAGCCGAUCCCAGUCCAGAUCGGAGUCUGCAACUCGACUCCGUGAAGUUGGAAUUGCUAGUAAUCGUGAAUCAGACAUGUCACGGUGAAUCCGUUCCUGGGUCUUGUACUCACCGCCCGUCAAAGCAUGGGAGGUGGCUCCACUGGAAGCCCCCGAAGCAAUAUCGGGGUCCAUGGUGAAGUCACUGACUGGGCUU